UUCCUGGUGUUUAGUCAGAAUCUCCUUUCUUGCAAUUUGAAGCCAUUGGUUUGGGUCUUACCUUUCAGAGCAGGAGAAAACAAGCAUGCUCCACCUGCCAUGUGACAGCCCUUGAGAUAUUUGAAGAUGGCUAUCACAUCUCCUCUCAGUCUCCUUUUUUCCAAGCUAAACAUUCUCAAUUCUCUUAACAG